AGAACCUUAUUACAGACUGGUAUCAGUUCUAAAGAGAAUCUUGAUACUUUGGGUUUCACAUUGGAACCUAGUCCCGUGCAAGCUCCUCCAACUGUGUGCACUGAAGAUCCUCCUAUUCCAUUAACAUGUGACACAUCUCAACUUUCACCAAGGCCCCCAGCUGCUCUUGUUUUAGAUAUGGGGAUUUCUGAUGCCUCACGUGACCCUUCUCCACUGACUAAUUCAAGCAAUAACAUUGACAGUAAUCACGAAUCA
rnacentral:misc_RNA from 1 species